rnacentral:rRNA from 1 species
AGUGAACGCUGGCGGUAGGCCUAACACAUGCAAGUCGAACGGCAGCACAGUAAGAGCUUGCUCUUACGGGUGGCGAGUGGCGGACGGGUGAGGAAUACAUCGGAAUCUACUUUUUCGUGGGGGAUAACGUAGGGAAACUUACGCUAAUACCGCAUACGACCUACGGGUCAAAGCAGGGGAUCUUCGGACCUUGCGCGAUUGAAUGAGCCGAUGUCGGAUUAGCUAGUUGGCGGGGUAAAGGCCCACCAAGGCGACGAUCCGUAGCUGGUCUGAGAGGAUGAUCAGCCACACUGGAACUGAGACACGGUCCAGACUCCUACGGGAGGCAGCAGUGGGGAAUAUUGGACAAUGGGCGCAAGCCUGAUCCAGCCAUACCGCGUGGGUGAAGAAGGCCUUCGGGUUGUAAAGCCCUUUUGUUGGGAAAGAAAAGCAGCAGGUUAAUACCCCGCUGUUCUGACGGUACCCAAAGAAUAAGCACCGGCUAACUUCGCG